UAUGGCGACCGGCGCACGGGUGAGUAACACGUAUCCAACCUGCCGAUGACUCGGGGAUAGCCUUUCGAAAGAAAGAUUAAUACCCGAUGGCAUAGUUCUUCCGCAUGGUAGAACUAUUAAAGAAUUUCGGUCAUCGAUGGGGAUGCGUUCCAUUAGGUUGUUGGCGGGGUAACGGCCCACCAAGCCUUCGAUGGAUAGGGGUUCUGAGAGGAAGGUCCCCUACAUUGGAACUGAGACACGGUCCAA
rnacentral:rRNA from 1 species